rnacentral:lncRNA from 1 species
AUUCCAUAUACUUGAAAAUAAGAAGUAAUUGCAUUCAUAAAACAACAUUGACAUUAAAACAUUUAUCAAUGUAUACUUCGUACAAUGAAUGAAAAAAAUCGAUAAACAAUAGAAAAUUAUAUAAGCGACGAUCAUUUGUUCUACAGUGAUUCCCGCUUAAAUGUAAAACUAUGUCACAUGACAGUCAUAUGAUUUGAAAAACACAAACUGGGGCAGCAUGUGCUUACAUACUUUUGCCGGCCAAAGUGGAUUUAGGACUGAUAAUCAUUCUGGGAAGGGUCGACUGUUUUUUACCUCAAUAAAAUGGCGGAAAUUGCAUUAUCUUUACUAAUUCAAGCAAUAAUAACAUUUCUGGACAGAGUUUGAGGCAUCUAUGUUGUAGUCAUAUGACCUUCACCAUCAUGUUAUGAAUAGUAAUUAUCGAUGACGUCACAGCUUUUGUUUAGAAAUAUAAAACCCAAAACUAAAUUGGUGCGUCAUUUCUGGUCCGCGUCAAAACAGGUACCAAGACGAUAUUAUAAUGCUUGUUUAUUUGCUGCUUAACAUCCAGUGGGAACCUUUUGUGUAUAUUCAAGAUCAAGUAAAUGAGCGCUGACUAAAUUUCCUGCUUUUUACUAGAACAAGAACCUGAUGAAGAUUGUUAUCUUGCUAGCUCCAAACGUAUUUAAAUUUCCUCUUAAAAUGCUGGUCACUCCAUUCAAAUAUUGAUGUGUUUGUGGUCAUUUAACGAAAGCUUCAUAGCACAUGUCUUCAAAGGCAAAACGAGGGGCCCGUUUUAAAUGCCUAUCCACGACAAAGAACUGACACAACUGUACACUAACUUUAAAAAAGAGACUACGAAACCAAACCUUAAAUCAUACAUACUAGUAAUGCUUUUUAUUUGUCACCCUGCACAUUUUUUUCUUCAAAUGAGUCAAUACUAUUUCUGUAAGCAAAUAACAAUCAAGCAAUCUUUUU